UAGUUGGUGGGGUAAAGGCCUACCAAGGCGACGAUCAGUAGCGGGUCUGAGAGGAUGAUCCGCCACACUGGAACUGAGACACGGUCCAGACUCCUACGGGAGGCAGCAGUGGGGAAUUUUGGACAAUGGGGGCAACCCUGAUCCAGCCAUUCCGCGUGAGUGAAGAAGGCCUUCGGGUUGUAAAGCUCUUUCAGCUGGAACGAAACGGUACAUCCUAAUACGGUGUGCUAAUGACGGUACCAGCAGAAGAAGCACCGGCUAACUACGUGCCAGCAGCCGCGGUAAUACGUAGGGUGCGAGCGUUAAUCGGAAUUACUGGGCGUAAAGCGUGCGCAGGCGGAUUGUUAAGCAAGAUGUGAAAUCCCCGGGCUUAACCUGGGAAUGGCAUUUUGAACUGGCAGUCUAGAGUGUGUCAGAGGGGGGUGGAAUUCCACGUGUAGCAGUGAAAUGCGUAGAGAUGUGGAGGAACACCAAUGGCGAAGGCAGCCCCCUGGGAUAACACUGACGCUCAUGUACGAAAGCGUGGGUAGCAAACAGGAUUAGAUACCCUGGUAGUCCACGCCCUAAACGAUGUCAACUGGUUGUUGGGGGAGUGAAAUCCCUUAGUAACGAAGCUAACGCGUGAAGUUGACCGCCUGGGGAGUACGGUCGCAAGAUUAAAACUCAAAGGAAUUGACGAAAACCCGCACAAGCGGUGGAUGAUGUGGAUUAAUUCGAUGCAACGCGAAAAACCUUACCUACCCUUGACAUGUCCAGAACCCUGCAGAGAUGCGGGGGUGCCCGAAAGGGAAUUGGAACACAGGUGCUGCAUGGCUGUCGUCAGCUCGUGUCGUGAGAUGUUGGGUUAAGUCCCGCAACGAGCGCAACCCUUAUCAUUAGUUGCUACGCAAGGGCACUCUAAUGAGACUGCCGG
rnacentral:rRNA from 1 species